CCCCCCCGUCUCCUCUUCCCUGGCCCUCCACUUGCCGAGGCCUUCCGUCCAAUCUGUGGAAGUAUUUGGGCCAAGAAGGGGGUACCUUUUGCUAGAUUUGUAUUCUUGGGACACCCAUUAUAAUACAAGCUGAGCAUACUAAUCAGAAAAAAGAAAAAAAUUAUCUGAGGUCAACCGCAAUCCAGAAGUGCUUGAGCCUUCCUCAGAUGAAUUAUUAGGUCAAGAGUCGCCUAACACCAUGUCAGGAUGCCUGCACCUUUUACGUCAGUUUAUCUCAUUAUGUAGGCAUUUUGCCAUCUCAUGUCAUCACAAAAAGAAGGUCACUACCAUCACUGUCUGCCAGCCAAGACUGUGAAAAGAGAUGAUAUAUUUUAGGAAGGGGCCAUAGAUCCAAAAUUAAUCUCUCUCUACCAGUUAAUUCCUGCAUAAAUUAAGCUGAAUAUGUUUUCCAACACCAUAAAUCAAGUGUAAUAGGUAUAAAUAAAACAUGAACUCAGGUUUCCUCAUUUGUAACUUCAGAUCUAUGACACUUCA